AUCACAGCCACGAACACCUCCUCUCCUCUCUUUCUUCUCUAUCUUCUCACACCAUGCACAUCUCGCUGUCCACCACCGGCCGCCGGAGAAGAGCGGAAGACCGGCGACUUGGGCGGCGCCCUGUGUAGGCAUGUUGUUCAGCCAGCCGCUCGCGACGCUGGCCAAGUUCAACCUCGAGCAUGGCACCCGGACAUCUACGGCAUCUCGGAGAUUGACGGCUUCAACUUGCUAUGCGGCUCGCCGGCGUGAUGCGUGUGCGUUGUCCGGCGUUGUACGUACGUGUGUUGUGUUGGCAUGUUGAUGCAUGCAUGCUUGUGUACGUCGUCUUGAGCCCCGCCCCUACCGCAAGCGCGACGAGCUCCGGUCAUGAGCGUCGCCGGCGGUGUCUUUUUUCUGUAAAAAAAGCUUGGGUCUGUCUAGGACACAUUAAGCUGAUGUUCACUUUAUUUGUGGUCUAUUUUUUAUCCUAGUUUUUUUAUUUUUUGUUGCUAUAUUAUAUACUUGUAGGAGCUUAGAUGUGAUAUCCUUAAAAAACAUCUAGAUGUGAAUUAGACAAACUGA
rnacentral:rRNA from 1 species